rnacentral:misc_RNA from 1 species
UUCCCUAACUGCACACUAUCUGCCUCCUUUCUUUUCUUAGUUCACUCAACCUCCACCCACCCCGAUCUCUCUGUGCGUGUGGCUUUGGGUUACACGAUUCGCCUCUGUGCUGUGCCAGGCGCCUUCUCUGAGGGACAGGACCAUCUGUGCAUCCAGCAUUGAACUAGUGGUGCGCCGCUGCACCAAGUAGGUGUAAAACAGUUGGUUCCUGCGCAACACGCCCGCGUAGAACCCCCUCCCCCCGUCCCCGUCCCCCGGCCCUCACCCUUUCCUCCCUAGCUCCGCUUCUCCAAUGUCCUUGUCGAACAAGCGCGAGGUGCGCGAGCACGUGAAGCUGGUGCUGCAGCCAUAUGAAGAAAACAGCCACAUCGAUGUCGAGGACAUGAAGGUGCUCACGCGGGAGGCGUCGGACGCUGUUGUCACCCUCCCAGCCACACCGGCGACCGUCGCAACAGCUGCUUUGACGGCCCUGCAAAGCCUGCUGAGCAGUCGUGCGGACGUAAAGCCCGAGGUGCUAGAGGCCGUCGCCCGGGCCCUGGAGGCUAGCAGUGUGACCGCUGAGCAGGCGACUGCUAGCGCCGCCUCGUCUCACGAAAGCGGCACCGCUACCCAGGGGAUGGCCAGCGGCAGCGGCACGAGCUCCACCGCCCCUAAUGCAACAACACUCAGCUUUAGCGCCUUCAAGGCUCGUAUGGCAAAGAAGAGGGAUGAGCUGAAGGCAGAGCGCGACACGGUCGCCGAGGUGACCUCAACGGCCACCACCCAUGUCGAAUCUACCACCGCCGCACCACCUGCCGACUCGUCGCCGAAUGUCAAGAAGGAGGAGAUGCCUACCACCACUGUGGGCACCGACCCGACAGAGUCUCGCAAUCUCUCCAACCAGCCCAGCGCGGCUCCCACACCGUCCCUGCGACCCUCCACGGCGCCCGCCCCAUCCUCCAUACCAGAUUUGGCUGAAGAGGCGGCUCUCUCUCGUGAGCGCGAUGAUGUUUCGAGCGAGCAGCCACCGGCGAAGGUGGAAAAGAAGGAGACCUUCCUGUUCUCAGCGCUCCCGGACCCGGACGAGGAGUUCGACCUAUACGCAGACCUCACACCCCUGUCACGAGGCCGUGGUCGUGGUCGCGGUCGUGGUCGGGGACGAGGCCGUGGACGGGGAGGUCCACCGUAUUUCUACCCUCCACACAACCCCUAUAAUUCACUGAAUCCGCACCACCAUCACGGAGCACCGCCCCCAUCGCAUCAGUGCGGAGGGGCGCCCCCACCGUCGCACUAUCACUAUGGUGCACCGCCCCCACCACAGCAUCACCACUACGACGCCCCGCCACCACACGCGUACCGCGGCGGUUACGGGCCCAACACGUCUUACCAACGUCCGUACUAGCAAUAUGCAGGCGUGCCUCUUACCGCCAUCUUUACGUGAUGAGCAUCGCAAACGUCAGCCCCAGCAUCUCCCCAGCCCCCUCCCACCCUGCAGAGACGAGGUAGGAGAUUGUCUAGUGGACCCCGUGUGCCGGUGCGUGUACUGGAGAGGCGCACCGUGGUGCCGUGGCACACGGUUGUCCUCACAGCUCGCCUUCCUCACCCACGCCCCCCUGCCGCCGCCGCCGCCGUGGAUAGCAUAUCUUUCUGCAUGCCUCUUCCUCUUAUGACUUUUUGGUUCCUUCAUUUCGAUCUUGUUCGUUAUAUAUAUAUAUGUAUGUAUAUAUAUAUAUAUAUUUGUUUGCUCCCGCCGUAUCCUCUUCGCGCUCCUCCUCUCUCUCCCCUCCUCUCUUCCGAGAGAAUCGGAGCGUGUCUUUGACCUCGUUUGCGCGCGUGAUCGUGUGUGUGUGUGUGUGUGAGCCUCCGCACAGCAAGCCCGUCCGUCUCCCUUGCUGCCUCCCUCCUCCCUCUUCCCCCUCUCUCAGCUGAUACGCCCAAACACACACAGCGAAAUGUUUGUGUUCCUGCCCCAUCACCCCCACCUCCUUGCCUCUGUUCAGCACAUCUUCGAAGAACAGAAGAGAGCGCCCGCAUCGCGCGCACCUCUCUCCCCUCAUUCCCUCUCUCUCGAGGAGAAAUGAAGGACGCGUCACAGCGUAGGUACGCGGGGCCGUCAUUGGCAUGGUUGUGUGUCUGUCUGUGUCCCUGCCAGUGCUGUGGUGUGGGUGUAUGGCGAGUCCUCCAAGGUUGCUCUUUCCGGCAUGGGUUCGACACACCGCCAUCUCUUCGAGAGUCGCAGGCGUCAGAACAAACAUCAAACCACAUCCUGCGCGUCUUGCACCGAAAAGACCAACAAGAAAAACUCGUGAUGCCUCCCACCUUCCUCUGUAUCUUGAAUGUUCAUUUUUGUGCGUGUGCGUGUUGUGUUCCCCCUCUGAUUCCUUGGCCCCCCUCCCCUCCCCCUUCAG